GGAGAAAUUAGAUGCUAAUCACUCUUAGGGGUAAAAGGAUUUGGGGCGGAAGCUUUCAAAAAAAGUGCAUUUAUCCAUUGUUCGCCUUCUGUUCUGUUUGCAGGGUUUUGCAUUCAUCAACUCUGUCUAUCGUGAGGAUGCCGCCCGAACUAUUCAAAGUGUUCAAGAAUUUGGUUAUUAUCAUCUUAUCUUGAGCGAGGAAUGGGCCAAACCAUCAACUAAUCAGCAAUAAGAAGUAACUAGAAGUGAUGCUUGUCGUUCGUCCUAUUAAAUGAAUAAAAAAGAUAUCAUACCAU